ACGGAGGGUGCAAGCGUUAUCCGGAAUCACUGGGUUUAAAGGGUGCGUAGGCGGCCCGAUAAGUCAGUCGUGAAAUCGCUGGGCUCAACCCAUGCAAUUGCGAUUGAUACUGUUGGACUUGAAUUAGGUUGAGGCUGGCGGAAUGCGACAUGUAGCGGUGAAAUGCUUAGAUAUGUCGCAGAACACCGAUUGCGAAGGCAGCCAGCUGGGCCUAUAUUGACGCUGAGGCACGAAAGCGUGGGGAGCAAACAGGAUUAGAUACCCUGGUAGUCCACGCCCUAAACGAUGCUCACUUGCUGUUCCUCUUUCGGGGGGAGUGGCGUAGGGAAACCGGUAAGUGAGCCACCUGGGGAGUACGCCCGCAAGGGUG
rnacentral:rRNA from 1 species